AAAAGUAUUAAAUCAUUGCCAUCCUUUCAUUUCCUGAUCCAUGAAGGCCCUUCAGACCCAACAAAACCACAGUCUCAUAUCUGGGGAGAAUGUAAAGAGAGGAAUGAAUUGAAAAAACAGCAAAACUAGUUUAAGGUCAGCCAUGAAAACAAGCUAAAAGAGGAAUUGAGGGCUGUGGUUUUCCUUUGGUAUUGGAAGCAGCCAUGAAGCUACAGCAGUCCUCCCCUCUGGAAUAUGCAGCAACAAGGCAGGAUCUUGGAAUCAGAGACCAUGCCCAUCACUAGACACAGAACCUGCCAAUGCCUUGAUCUUGGACUUCCCAGCCUCCAGAACUGAUGCUUCCAGCUGCUCUACUGGGUGGAACAUUACAGAAAUCAUCCGCCUGCCCGACUCUGGAGCUGGGCCCCUCCUGGUCUGCCAAGAGGUUCCCAGGCUGAUUGCCAAGGGACCGUCUUAUUUUUAGAUACAAUCUUAUGUCCAAUCCCUAUGGAAGGUUUAAGUAGUAAUUUACUCAAAUAUUUAGGAAAGAAGUCCAGAACCAAGCUUCACUGUGGACGGGAGCUAGGGUGGGUGAGGUUUAAGGUAAGGUAAAUAUCCUCAGACCCCGACCCAACCACUUUGCUCUCAGUCACCAAUCACAAACCAAGUCCCCACUGAGGGGUUUUCUGAACUUUUACAGUCUCACAGCCUUUGGCGUUGGCCCCCAAUGGCCUGUGAGGGGCCAAGCUCUGGUCCCCUGGAUGGAGAGAAGAAGUGAUACCAUUUGUUAUUACUGUAUCUUACAUUUGGGGAUGUUGCCAGUUUCCUCUGACCUAGAGCAUCUAAAAUCAAGCACAUUUUAUCACCUUAAGGUAUGAUUUUUUUUGUUGUUCUUUUUCUUUUUUUCUUUUCGAGACAGGGUCUCACUCUGUUGCCCAGGCUGGAGUGCAGUGGUGUGAUCAUGGCUCAUGGUAGCCUCCACCUCCUGGGCUCAAGUGAUCCUCCCAUCUUAGAUCCCAAGUAGCUGGGACCACAGGCAGGUGCCAUCAUAUCUGGCCAAUUUUUUUCUUCUUUGUAGACACAGGGUCUCACUAUGUUGCCCAGGCUGGUUUCAAACUCCUGAGCACAGACAAUCCUCCUGUCUCAGCCUCCCAAAAUGCUGGGAUUACAGGUAUGACCCACAACGCCUGGCCAAGAGUGACUUUCAAACCCUGUCUGGUCAUCUUAGGACAUCCAUGUUUCUCCUAGUAACUGCACCGUAACUAUCUUGAUAGCUAAUGAUCCAAUCUCAUUCUGUUAGACAAAGACAUGCCUCUUCCUUACAUUAAAAAAAAUGGGAAGACUGGACAGCUUCUCCCCAAUUCCUGGAGUGUGUAUGCAUGGGGCGUCAGUGUCUGUGAGAGUUAGGGAAUGGGGAGAAGAUGGGAAGGAGAAGGAAGGAAAAUGUGGAGUGAGUGGAAUUGAAGAUACAGGAGGGAUAUUUUGAAGAUUUAUUUAUGAACCCUAAGCUGUUUUGUUUUUUUUUUUUUUGAGAUUGAGUCUUGCUCUGUCGUCCAGGCUGAAGUGUAGUGGUGAGAUCUCGGUUCACUGCAACCUCCACCUCCUGCGAGUGAUUCUCCUGCCUCAGCCUCCUGAGCAGCUGGGACUACAUGCAUGUGCCACCACGCCCAACUAAUUUUCUUUUGUAUUUUUAGUAGAGAUGGGGUUUCACCACCUUGGCCAGGCUGGUCUCGAACUCCUGACCUCAGACAAUCCACCCACUUUGGCCUCCCAAAGUUCUGGGAUUACAGGCAUUGCGCUUGGCCCCUAAACUGUUUUUAAUUCCCAUGAUUAAUGCAGUUCUAAAUAAGCUUGGCAAGAAAAAUACUGAGUAUAAUAAUUUAACAUCUCAAGAGAUAAAUGUAUACAUCCUUAAAAUAAUGCUCCUUAAAAACAUAAGCUCUAAUUCUGAAUAUGCCUUUGACUAUCUUUGUGACCUUAGACAAGUCAUGUCAGUUUGCACUUUACAAUGGUGUGUGUUUGUUUUAUUGUCUACAAAAUGUUAUAAUAUUACACACUUCAUCCCCUUUACAGGGACACUAUGUAGGUCAAAUCAGAUUACAUUAAGAUAGUGAUAAUUACAUUUUCGUAGUACUUUAUCAUCCACAAAACAUUUCUGCGUAUGUUAUUUCAUUUGCAUGAAAGAGCUUUGAAAAGUUAUAGUGUUAUAAAUGGACAGCGCCUAUGUUUGAAUACCAGCUCCAUCUUUCUCUUCUUCAAAUUGCUUAUCAGUAAAUGAGGCUAGUAGUAGUAUCUGCCUCAUAGGUUGUUGAGAGGAUUACAUGAUAUGCUGCAUGGGAAGCUGUUGACUCAGUGCCUGCAUAAAUAAAUAUUCGGGCUGGCACAAUGGCUCACACUUGCAAUCCCAGCACUUUCAGAGGCUGAAGUGGGAGGAUUGCUUGAGCCCAGGUGUUUGAGACCAGCCUGGGCAAUAUAGUGAGAUAUUGUUUCUAUAAAAACAAUUUAAAAAUUAGCCAAGUAUGGUGACACAUGCCUACAGUCCCAGCUACUCAGGAGGUUGAGAUGGGAGGAUCUCUUGAGCCCAGGAGUUCGAGGCUGCAGUGAAUAGUGAUUGCACUAUUCCUCUGCAGCAUGUAUGACAGAAUGAGACCCCAUCAAAAAAAAAAGAGGGGGGGCCGAGGUUGGUGGCUCACGCCUGUAAUCUCAGCACUUUGGGAGGCUGAGGCAGGCAGAUCACCUGAGGUCAGGAGUUCAAGACCAGCCUGGCCGACAUGGUGAAACCCUGUCUUAAAAAAAAAAAAGGAAGAAACAAAUAUUCAACAAAAUCCACUUUGUUCAAGUGUACCUGCAAAUGUCACUUCCUAAAGGCCUUUCUAUCUUUUAUUUUAUUUUAUUUUUUUAAAGAUGGGGUUUCACCAUGUUGGCCAGGCUGGUCUCAAACUCCUGACCUCAGGUGACCCACCUACCUCGGCCCGAACUACUUUAGGUGACCCGAAGUGCUGGGAUUAUAGGCGUGAGCCACCAUGCCCAACCUCCAGCCUCUCUAUCUAAAACAGUGGCCUCCUUCUGCCAUCACUUUCCAGCUCCCUGCCCUGGUUUAUUUUUCUGAGUAAUGCUUAGUACUUUAUAUCAUAUUGAUUUGUUUGCCUAAAAUCUCCAUGAAGACAGAGACUUUGUCCUGUUUACUUCUCUAUUCAGGAUAGCAGAUACUCAAUAAAUAUUUGUUGACUGAAUGAAGUUAGCUGUCAUAAUUGCUAUUGUUAUCAUUACCUAACGUCCCUUCUUCACCUUGCCUUUGACUCUCUUGUAUCAUCGAGGGCAUUAGAAAUAUUCUCUGGCCAGUGUGGUGGCUCAUGCCUGUAAUCCCAGCACUAUGGGAGGCCGAGGUGGGUGGAUCGUGGGAGGCCAUCGCGGGUGGAUAGCUUGAGCCCAGGAGUUUGAGAUCAGCCUGGGCAACAUGACGAAACCCCAUCUGUACCAGAAAUACAAAACUUAGCUAGUCUCAUAACCUGAUCUCAAAAUAAAAAGAAAAAAAAUUUUUAAGAAAUAUUCUCUUGGUAACAACCCAAAUUGAAAAAGAAAAAAAGGAGAUAUUCUCUCUGAGUUUGCAAGAACUGCUUAAAUCAAGCAAUUCAGGUUGUUGCCGUCUUCCUGGGAAUUUUUAUUUUCUAGUAUGGAGGACUACCAGCAGAUGGCAAUCAAGGAAUACAAAAUCUGAGUUUAUCCUAUUCAGGAAGACUUUGGUAAAUAGAAUUAAGAAUCAUAAACCAGGCGUGGUGGCUCACACCUGUAAUCCCAGCACUUUGGGAGGCCCAGGUGGAUGGAUCACAAGGUCAGGAGAUUGAGACCAUCCUGGCCAACAUGGUGAAACCCCAUCUCUACUAAAAAUACAAAAAUUAGCUGGGUUUGGUGGCAGGUGCCUAUAAUCCCAGCUACUUGGGAGGUUGAGGCAGGAGAAUCACUUGAACCUGGGAGGCAGAGGUUGCAGUGAGCUGGGAUUGUGCCACUGCACUCCAGACUGGGUGACAGAGUGAGACUCGGCCUCAAAAUAAAAAAAAAAAAAGAAUUAUAAGCUGAGUUGGGCACCAAAGUAAUCCCAGCACUUUGGGAGGCUCAGGCAGGAGGGUUGCUUGAAACCAGGAGUCAAUGAAACU